rnacentral:lncRNA from 1 species
GUGGAGCAGGAUCUGCUUACCCUUCCGGAGCACCUGAGAUCACCCCUAGUUUUUGGAGGGGUUCGUGUUGUUUAUUCUUUAGUUUUCUAUGUUGUGUCAUGUGUACUAUUGUUUUUCUGUUUGUCUUUUUCAUUUUUAGCCAUGGCGUUGUCAGUUUGUUUUAGAUUUAUGAGUUUGACUAUCCCUUUGGUAUCUUCCGUCCCUCUUUUGUA